rnacentral:rRNA from 1 species
UGCGUAGGUGGCAAGCGUUGUCCGGAUUUACUGGGCGUAAAGAGCGCGCAGGCGGUCGUUCAAGUCGCGUGUGAAAGCCCCCGGCUCAACUGGGGAGGGUCACGCGAUACUGAUCGACUCGAAGGCAGGAGAGGGUAGUGGAAUUCCCGGUGUAGUGGUGAAAUGCGUAGAUAUCUGGAGGAACACCGGUGGCGAAGGCGGCAUCCUGGACCAAUUCUGACGCUGAGGAGCGAAAGCCAGGGGAGCAAACGGG